AUGGCAUCGUCCGGAACGCAAGGAUUCAUCGGAACCUGCGAUGGCGACUCACAACCACUCUUUCUAUACGUUUCUUCCUACACCCGCAUAUGGAACGCGGUGAGAUGUUGGCUGGAUGCGCCUGAGCUGGACACUGCCGCUUGGACAGGGAUCCCAACGGUCCAGGAGUGGUGGGCUACGACUGUGCUCGAGCGUGGGCACCGGAGAAAAGCCAUAUCCUCACUUAUAUCGCUUGUAUCCUCGGAGGUUUGGAAAGAGAGAAAUGUGUUGGUGUUCCAGAAGAAAUCUUCUAUGCCAACAACUGUGUUCGCGGGCAUCAAAGUAGAGGCCAAAAAUUGGGGCUUGGCCGGGGCUAAACAUUUGGGAUCAUUGAUGGCGCGAGAGUAG
rnacentral:rRNA from 1 species